rnacentral:rRNA from 1 species
UACGUAGGUGGCAAGCGUUGUCCGGAUUUAUUGGGUUUAAAGGGCGCGUAGGCGGCCUGAUCAGUCGGGGGUGAAAGCCUGUGGCUCAACCACAGAAUGGCCUUCGAUACUGUCGGGCUUGAGACCGGAAGAGGUAAGUGGAACUGCGAGUGUAGAGGUGAAAUUCGUAGAUAUUCGCAAGAACACCAGUGGCGAAGGCGGCUUACUGGUCCGGAUCUGACGCUGAGGCGCGAAAGCGUGGGGAGCAAACAGG